GAUGAACGCUGGCGGCGUGCCUAAUACAUGCAAGUCGAACGCUGGAAAUCUAGCUUGCUAGAUUGAAGGAGUGGCGAACGGGUGAGUAAUACAUAAGCAACCUACCCACGAAGACUGGGAUAAUCUCUGGAAACGGGGACUAAUACCGGAUAGGUAAUCGGAAGGCAUCUUCUGAUUAUUAAAGGUUAAAAACACUGGUGGAUGGGCUUAUGGCGCAUUAGUUAGUUGGUGAGGUAACGGCCCACCAAGACGGUGAUGCGUAGCCGGCCUGGGAGGGUGAACGGCCACAUUGGGACUGAGACACGGCCCAGACUCCUACGGGAGGCAGCAGUAGGGAAUUUUCGGCAAUGGGGGAAACCCUGACCGAGCAACGCCGCGUGAGUGAUGACGGCCUUCGGGUUGUAAAGCUCUGUUGUAAGGGAAGAACGGUAGAUAGAGAAUAUCUAAAUGACGGUACCUUACCAGAAAGCCACGGCUAACUACGUG
rnacentral:rRNA from 1 species